GGGAAUAUUGCGCAAUGGAGGAAACUCUGACGCAGUGACGCCGCGUAUAGGAAGAAGGUUUUCGGAUUGUAAACUAUUGUCGUUAGGGAAGAGAAAGGACAGUACCUAAUGAGGAAGCUCCGGCUAACUACGUGCCAGCAGCCGCGGUAAUACGUAGGGAGCGAGCGUUAUCCGGAAUUAUUGGGUGUAAAGGGUGCGUAGACGGGAAAACAAGUUAGUUGUGAAAUCCCUCGGCUUAACUGAGGAACUGCAACUAAAACUGAUUUUCUUGAGUACUGGAGAGGAAAGUGGAAUUCCUAGUGUAGCGGUGAAAUGCGUAGAUAUUAGGAGGAACACCAGUGGCGAAGGCGACUUUCUGGACAGUAACUGACGUUGAGGCACGAAAGUGUGGGGAGCAAACAGG
rnacentral:rRNA from 1 species